UUUGGUGCGAAAUAAACGGUA
rnacentral:siRNA from 1 species